GAACCCUAGCGAUGUCGCCUCUCUUCUUUUGGCUAGGGUUUUCUGCCUCUUUUAGACUUUCGCCGCCAAGGCUAGGGUUUCGGUGGUUUUGGCCUCGGAUGCAGUGAGCCUCUGGUUUUCCUCCUGUACCGUGAGCUGAAAUAUCCAGCCAAGGGGAGGAGCUGGUUCCAUUGCCAAGAUCUGCGAUUUGAAAUGAAGGUAAUUGCCCCGAUUGAGGUUGAUUGUCAGCCAUGACGGUAUGGAGAUCUCCCUCUCUUCCUUUUUCCUUCGUCUGUUUCAAUGUGAUUUCCUCAAGGUGCUGAUUCUUGCGCCAGAGUGCUAAUGCGUUUUGCAGGUUAGCUAGAUUUUUUCGGUAGAAGAUCAGAAGACCAGAAGAGGAUGAUCGAGGCGGAAGACGUGAGUUAAAGGUGCGUAACCCGCUCUGAUACCAUGAAAGAAGAUGAAGAAGACGAGAGGAAGGAAAGCGAGAGGGGAAAAUUUUCUUUGUAUUUCGGUAUAUUCAUGUAAUGUAUAGAGCAUGUCUAUUAUAAUACAUGUUGUAUGUAAAUAAAAGGAAACAAUAUUAUAUACAAAAUCAGAUUCGAUAUUAA